GACGAACGCUGGCGGCGUGCUUAACACAUGCAAGUCGAACGGAAAGGCCCUGCUUGCAGGGUACUCGAGUGGCGAACGGGUGAGUAACACGUGGGUGAUCUGCCCUGCACUUCGGGAUAAGCCUGGGAAACUGGGUCUAAUACCGGAUAGGAGCCAUUUUUAGUGUGAUGGUUGGAAAGUUUUUUCGGUGUAGGAUGAGCUCGCGGCCUAUCAGCUUGUUGGUGGGGUAAUGGCCUACCAAGGCGGCGACGGGUAGCCGGCCUGAGAGGGUGGACGGCCACAUUGGGACAGAGAUACGGCCCAGACUCCUACGGGAGGCAGCAGUGGGGAAUAUUGCACAAUGGGCGCAAGCCUGAUGCAGCGACGCCGCGUGGGGGAUGACGGCCUUCGGGUUGUAAACUCCUUUCGCUAGGGACGAAGCUUUUUGUGACGGUACCUAGAUAAGAAGCACCGGCUAACUACGU
rnacentral:rRNA from 1 species